GAUGAACGCUGGCGGCAUGCCUAAUACAUGCAAGUCGUGCGAGAAACUACUUUCGGGUAGUGGAAAGCGGCGGACGGGUGAGUAACGCGUAGAAACAUACCCCAAGGUGAGGGAUAAGCAUCGGAAACGGUGUCUAAUACCGCAUACUGUCUACGGACAAAAGAUUUAUCGCCAUGGGAAUGGUCUGCGUCUGAUUAGCUAGUUGGUAGGGUAAAGGCCUACCAAGGCGAUGAUCAGUAGCUGGUUUGAGUGGAUGAUCAGCCACACUGGAACUGCGACACGGUCCAGACUCCUACGGGAGGCAGCAGUAGGGAAUUUUCCACAAUGGGCGAAAGCCUGAUGGAGCAAUGCCGCGUGCGGGAUGAAGGUCUUCGGAUUGUAAACCGCCUUUAUAUGUGAAGAUUAUGACGGUAGCAUAUGAAUAAGGAUCGGCUAACUACGUGCCAGCCGCCGCAGUAA
rnacentral:rRNA from 1 species